AACGAACGCUGGCGGCAUGCCUAACACAUGCAAGUCGAACGAGACCUUCGGGUCUAGUGGCGCACGGGUGCGUAACGCGUGGGAACCUGCCUUUAGGUUCGGCAUAACUCCCCGAAAGGGGUGCUAAUACCGGAUAAUGUCUUCGGACCAAAGAUUUAUCGCCUGUGGAUGGGCCCGCGUUGGAUUAGGUAGUUGGGAGGGUAAAAGCCUACCACGGCGACGAUCCAUAGCUGGUCUGAGAGGAGGAUCAGCCACACUGGGGCGGAGACAGGGGCCAGACUUCGACGGGGGGCAGCAGUGGGAAAUAUUGGAGCAGGGGCGAAGACGUGGGCCAUCGAUGCGGAGUGAGUGAUGAAGGGCGUAGGGGUGUAGAGCGCUUUUACCCGGGAUGAUAAUGACAGUACCGAGAGAAUAAGCUCCGGCUAACUCCG
rnacentral:rRNA from 1 species